rnacentral:lncRNA from 1 species
AUCUAUAUUUGGUCAGUUGAGCUAUUGUUGAGUCAAUGAAUUAAAACUCGCACAUUUCUUGUUAAUUAUGGUGAUUGUAGAUUGACAGGGGUGGAUUUAUGCGGUUUUAGCUUGAAACUUUAAUUUCUCGCUUAUUUUAACACAAAAUAUUCGCCACGUUUUGCUUGCCAUGCAAGAUAUCUACAUUGCACCCUCUUUAGAAGAAUAUUCCAAUAAUUUCGAUAAUUAUACCUCAAAAAAAAUUUUUUUUAAAGAUUUAUAUAAGAAGGCUAAAUAUAAAUCAGAAACAGUAUAUGACAAAGGACAGAGAAAGGAAGUAUAUUAUUAUUUAUAUCAUAUUACACUCAGUG